UGCUUACAAAAGGAACAGUCGAGUUCAUGUACUGAAAACACCUCUUUUUUGCUGGUAGGCUGCUAUGAAAAGGAAAAAACAGAUUUUAACCGAGCUAUGUACUUGUUACCUUGGAGUGCGUCAUUAGCCAUGAAAGCAAGGUGCUUUCUUGUUAUGCAGCGAUAAUCUCUUCCAAUUCCGUAAAAUCAUUGCUACUGACAUGCGUGUUAUAUUCUAGGAUGGAUUUAUAAAACCUUCAGUUAAUGGAAACUUUGUAGGCCCUAGCUAAGAUCAUGGAGGUUCUCUGCUUUGCUUCCUUGGAGCAUUGACCAUUUACUGCGUACAUGUUGGAUAGCUUUCAGUGCCUGCCGAGUGCCAACAGAGUGAACAUUCUGAAGCUUUAGCAUGGCUUCCUGUUCUAUGUCGUCCAGGCUGCUGGUCUGCCAUGGACUGCAGCUCCGAUGAGUCAUCAGAGCUAAAUGAUAUCGAUAUUGAUGACUAUCUAGGAUACUUAUUUGUCAAGUUGUUGCAUCUUUGUUCCUGUUCGAGAAAAUUGCAUUACAAUGAUUUCAUGUUAAAUAGUGUUUGUGUAAUGCCGUUUAAAAUUAUACCUAAUACUUGGUUAUGAACUGGUUGUGCAUUACACAAUCAAAGAUUGAGUUUUUAAUUUAGUGGUUGUCCAUUAUCA